rnacentral:tRNA from 1 species
GUUUUAAUAGUUUAAAAAAAACAUUGGUCUUGUAAACCAAAAAUAAGGUAUGCCCCCCAUUUUAAAACU